ensembl:lncRNA
UGAGAGCGCGUGUGUGAGAGAGCGCGUGUGUGUGUUUGUGUGAGAGCGCGCGCGUGUGUGAGAGAGAGAGAGAGUGUAUGUGAGAGAGCAUGAGAGUGUGUGAGAGCGCGUGUGUGAGAGUGCGCGUGCGAGUUUGAGAGAGAGAGUGUGUGUGAGGGAGCGCGCGUAUGUGAGCGUGUGUGUGUGAGGGAGCGCGUGAGUUUGAGAGAGUGUGUGUGUGUAUGUGUGGGAGAGUGUUUGUAAGAGUGUGUGAGAGAGAGUGUAUGUGUGAGUGUAUUUGUGAGAGAGAGAGUGUGAGUUUGUGUGUGUGUGAGAGAGUGAGUGUAUGUGUGAGUGUGUUUGUCAGAGAAAGAGUGAGUGUGUGUAUGUGUGAGAGAGUGUUUGUGAGAGUGUGUGAGUGUGUUUGUGUGUGAGAGAGUGUAUGUGUGAGUGUGUUUGUGAGCGAGAGAGUGUGUGAGAGAGAGUAUGAGUUUGUGUGUGUUUGUGAGAGAAAGAGUGUGAGAGUGUGUGUGUAUGAGAGAGUGUGUGUGAGUGUGUGUGUAACCGUUUUAUAUUGUUAUGGGUCAUCAGACCGAGUGCGUUAGCUAUUAGAGGGUUAGAAUGUGAUGGAAGACGUGUUGGUGUUAUUAGUGUCGAGUGAGUAUUUCACACGUGCUGGUUAUGUUCAUGAGCGGCUCAUUAACUCCACGUCCUUAAUAAGUUCCAUGUUUGUCUUCUGUAUCUCUCUGAUCUCUCUGGUCUCUCUGAUUAACCUGUAAAUCAAUCGGAUUAUUCUACUUCUGAUGUAUAUUUUUGGUGAUUUCUGUGAUCUAAUUGCGCCGGGAGAAUUAUUUGUUCCUCUGUACAGUGAAACUUACUCUGGUAGCACGCUUAUCGCCGACCCUCCCCCGGACAUUAGACGCUUCCCGAAUGAGGAAAUAAAAAAAACUGAUGCUCUCGUAUACUUUCUGAUGAACGGCACGUGACCACGUGAUGCAGACACGUUCAGCUCCCCGCUGGGAACCCUCUUCUAUUGUAAGAACGUUCAUUGCUGUCGGCAUGCGAGAGUUUUAUCGCCGAGGAGACGUGUCUGAUUUUAUUACCUGACUUCCUGAUAAACGAAUCCGUAGCAGAAGUGGUGGAGACGUCGGAUCUCAAAGGUGGGUAGUGAUCUACCAGAGGACGGGCGGCACAGCGGCGCCUUGGGUUUAAUCCUGAGCUCGGGUUGCUCUCCUCCACGUUCUCCGGUUUCCUCCCACCGUCCAAUAACACACCAGUAAGUGGAUUAGUGUGUGUGUGUGUGUGGUGGAUUAGUGGCCUAUCUGGGGUGUAUCCUGUCUCACACCCGGAAUAGUGAGAUAUGAACCCCGAACGCGUGAGCGCAGAUCUGAUGCGGGAUAUGAACACGAACGUGUGAGCACGGAUUGGAUACGGUACAUGACCCCCGAACGUGUGAGUGCGGAUCGGAUACGGGAUAUGACCCGUGAACGUGUGAGCGCGGAUCUGAUAUGGGAUAUGAAUGCGAACGUGUGAGCGCGGAUCGGAUACGGGAUAUGACCCAUGAACGUGUGAGCGCGGAUCGGAUACGGGAUAUGACCCGUGAACGUGUGAGCGCGGAUCGGAUACGGGAUAUGACCCGUGAACGUACCGUGAGCGCGGAUCGGAUACGGGAUAUGACCCGUGAACGUGUGAGCGCGGAUCUGACAUGGGAUAUGAACGUGAUCGUGUGAGCGCGGAUCGGAUACACGACAUGGCCCGCGAACGUGUGAGCGCGGAUCAGAUAUGGGAUAUGACCCGUGAACGUGUGAGCGCGGAUCUGAUAUGGGAUAUGAACGCGAACGUGUGAGCGCGGAUCGGAUACGGGAUAUGACCCAUGAACGUGUGAGCGUGGAUCGGAUACGGGAUAUGACCCAUGAACGUGUGAGCGCGGAUCAGAUACGGGAUAUGACCCGUGAACGUGUGAGCGCGGAUCUGAUAUGGGGUAAAAACACGAACGUGUGAGCGCGGAUCGGAUACGGGACAUGACCCACGAUAUCCUCAGAUCCGUUUCAGGCCUCGUUCACGGGAAUAAAUCCGAUAGGAAUCGGAUACGUGCGUUUCCGUCUGGCGUGUAAGCGCACAGAUCAGAUAUUCCCCCGUCGACGCGAGGCGUCCAUCGCCGAGAAAGCGACAGCGGCGAAUGACGUCGACUCGGGUGGACACCGACUGCGGAAACGCGGCUCUCGACAAGGGCUCUCGUCUUUUCUUUCUUUAUUUCCUCCGCCUUAAGAGCCCGGUGUUUUGCUUGCGUUUCGAUAUGCUGCAGAAAGCAAAAGCUCGAUUUACAUUUCCGUCUGCGUCCAUCGCAAAUUGCGCCUUUUUGACUUCCUUUUCCGGUGACGUCUACCUCGGGUCGUAACGAUACGACAUAUAGUGUAAAUGCAGAGCUCGGAUUGUGUGUCACUUUUAAAAGAGAUAUAAUCAGCAAAUCGGAAUCGGGCACCGAGACCUGCAGUGUAAAUGCGGCCCCGUACGUUGUUAUUGAGCGCGUUGCCACGGAGUAAGUUAUCUCAUCAUACUUAAAGGAUCAAGCCUUUUAAUCUGAGCAAAUAAAACCAGCUCUGUUAAGAUGAAAAACUACCAGAAUAUUACAGUCAGAGUCAGUUACACCCACACACACUCAGACUGAACAGGAAGUCAUUCCAGCACUUGUUCGAAUACAGAAAUACAUUUUCACCAAAACUACGACCCGCGUUCAACACGAUGUCGGAUAUUUUGAAACGACAGGUCCGAUUUCUCUUUUCGUCCUGCAUGCUUACACGGACGUGAGACCUGGCCGUGUCUGAUUAUCAUGUUUAAUAUCAUUCCUCUGACAAAAUGCCCUAAAUCAACCCCAGCAGCUUGUUGGCAGGAGCAGCACUGAGGUUGGAGAAAGGAGGAGAGAUUCCGUUUCAGCCGAGGUUGUUGUGGUGUUUUGCCGUACGGUCUUUAAUUGGAGCCAGGACCGACUGGGUCCUUCCUUAACGUGAGGACCGAAAGUUGAAUGAUUACAUUUACGGCGUUUGGCAGAUGCUCUUAUCCAGAGCGACUUGCGUUUAUCUCAUUUUAUACAUCUGAGCAGUUGAGGGUUAAGAGCCUUGCCUUGGCGUGGUAGCUUGGCAGUGCUGGGACUUGAACUCCUGACCUUCUGAUCAGUAACCCAGAGCCUUUGCCCAGACAGACUGCCCAGAUUAGUUCAGAAGAUUCUUCUGGAAAAACAUUUCAGCCGCUGAUGCACCAUCUGUUGUGCUUCUUGAGCUGACCGGAAGGUCUUUCCACACAGUGGUCUAAA